rnacentral:lncRNA from 1 species
AUUUCUUCUCUUAUUUUCUCUAUUCCCUUUAGUUCUAUAACAAGUUAUCAGCAAGGUAAUUUUUUUUUUUUAUAUAACUCAAAAUCUUCUUUCGAAAAAAAAAAAAAAAAAGAUUCAAUUGCCACUCGUUCUCACCUAUCUUCUAGUUCGCGCCCUUGCCAUCAACAUCUAGUUGUUUUUGUUAUCACUAAUUGCCUCCAUCUAUCUCCGCUCGCCGUCAGAUUAUCCAUUGUCAAAAACCAGACCAAAGCAACACUAAGGGCUGACGAAUUUAAAGGCCCACACACACACAGUGCUCUCCUAGCGAAAGAAAUGGGGGAACUUCUCCUUUUAGGUAAUUCUUCUUCUUCCUCAUCACAAUAUUUAUAGAUAUAAGUGCAUAUACAGACAUAUAUGCAUACACGUAUGUGUGAGAAAUUGUUAUUAUGUUAUGAUUUGGAUUUUGAAAUAGGACUAGUUUGAUAAUAUUAAAAACUGUAAGUGUAUCUUGAUGUGGGUUUAAGCUUUUGUGCUUGUUAAUGAUUUUAAUUUUCAGAAUUUAUGUGAAAAGUCCAUCAAUAUUAGGUCAAAACGUGAAAAUACAUUUGGGUGAUUGAUUGUACAUGUUUGAGUUGUUUGACUAGAAAGGGAUGAAUUCCAAUAAAAUUGUUUGCCACUAUACAUUUUUUUUAUUCAUUUGUAAUCAUUAUGCAAUUAAUUUAUGAUUUUUAUUUGCCACCAAAUUUUCAUUUUGUCAAAUUCUAAUAUAAAAGAAUCAUCUUUACAGUAAUUAUACUUUAAUUAAAUACUAAUUAUUUACUAAUCUUAAUUAUCUAUGUUUUCCCUGAUAAUUUCGAUGCAAUUAUGACUUUGUUUUUACUAUGAAUACCUUUAUAUGGAUUAAUAUCAUUUGAGUUUAAUUAAAUCUUGAUAUAUUUCUUAUAAUUUCUACUCGUUAAUUUUUUUUCCUAUUGAACAAAAUUUUAAAUUAGAGUUAUUAAAUAAAAUAAUAUAGAUCUAGUUUACAAUAACAAAAGAUCUAUAAAUAUUCUCAAAAAAUAUUUUGUUGUUAUUCUUGAAGUAGUACAACAUUACAAUUAAUAUUCUAAUAUUCUUGAAGAAUAUUACUUGCUCCUGAAGAGCAUGAACUAUAUAUUUUUUUAAUAUUCCAUAAGAAUAUUAUUUAUUCUUGAAAAACAUGAAUUACAAUUUUUAAUAUUUCAAAUAAAGAUGUUGAUUAAUUACUGUCGAAAAAGCAAUAAUAAAAUAUAAAGUACUCUUGAAGAAAUAUAACUCUGAAAACAUUAAUAUUUGUUUAGAAAACAUACUCAUGGAAAAAUUAAUGUUUUUAAACAAUUAUUUAUUAGUGCUCAUGAAGAACACAACAUUAUUAAUAUUUUAAAAGGAUAUUAUUACUCCGAAGCAGCACACUAUUAUUGACAGAUACUUUAAUUAGAUUUUACUUGCUCUCGAAGAGCAUAAUUAAAUACGAUUUAAUGUAAAUAAUGUUUUUACUUUAAAGAGUAAAUUUUUAUAUAAUUUAUUAUUUCAAAUAAUAAUAGGCUAUUACUCCUGAAGAGCAUAAUACUAUGAUUCCAAUAUUUUAGAGGAAUAUUGAUAUUGCUAUUAAAGAAGCGAUAAUAAAAUAAUGCGUGCUUUUGAAAGAGCACAUGUUUUGAAGAAUAUAUUAUGUGUGUUUAUGAAUUUGUUCUUAUUCCUGAAGGAAAACAUACGACUUAUGUUAUGUGGACAUUGAUCAUUAUAGAUUAUAUAAUGUUUAAUCAUAUUUUUCAAAAUUAAAUAAUUGAAUUAUAUCUUAUAUUGAACCAAAAGUUCAAUUUGAUUUUAUAAUUUGGCUUGACCAGUUGGAUCAUCACUGGAUCAAUAAUGAUGCGAAAUUAAAAUUUUUUAAUGGAUAUUCAAUGAAGAAUCAGAAAAUCCUUCAAUCGAAUGAAUUCUUAUAUAUCAUUUAUUAUCUUUAUCGACAAUUAAUUAUUAAACAUCACAGCUAAAAUAGGGAUUUAAUUCCUUAUAUUUCUAAAAAAUUAAUUAAGGUGAUAUAUGGUGCCCCAUUAUCCACCACGUUGACCAUCUAAAUAUUAUUUAUAUCUAAUAGAUUCAAUACAAAUACUAGACGAUUGCAUGGUGUUCGCAACCUGAAAUUUACGAAAUUAUAGCUCAAAUUAUGAGCAUAAUUUUCAGAUUAUAUUAUUAAGAUCGUGUCUUGUUAAUGUUAGUGAAUAUAAAUCUCAACAUUUUAAUAACUUUUAGUUAAGAUCUCGAUAAAUGAUUUAACACUAUCGUUUGUUAAAUGCCUCCAAUUAAUUUACUUGAGAAUAAAGUAUUUUUCAUUUUUAUUUUGGGAAUUCUAUUACGUAUCAUGCCAAAAUCAUGGUUCUCCCUAUUAUAAUCAGUUUAUGGUCAGAUCCUAAUUUUUUCAUCUAAUUAUUUUGAUAGUGUAAUAUAUAUAAAUAUUGAACACCACAAUGCAUUGAGAUGAAAAAUAAAGAAUGUUGAGAAUAAGUACGUAGCUUGAACUAUAAUCUCAAAGGGGUUAUAUUUUAUAACGCUGAAAAAAAAUUGAUUGUCAAAUUGAUUGGAUAAUUCUCUCAGCAUUCAGGGGGAGAGAUUAAAAAGUUGAAAAAUUAUGUAUCAUGAAUCAUCUUCUAGAUCCUCACAAAAUAUUAUUCGAACCAGAAGUUCAAAAGAUAAUUUAUUUAGAUACAAUUACUGAUCAAAGAGAUAAACAAUAUCUCACGCACUCUUUUUAAAUGCUCCAACACGAAUUGAUGUCCCAUGAGGACAAUUUGUUAGCAUUAUAUUUGAUAUAUCUAUGGCACGCCUAAAAACGUGAUAGUGUUCGAUCCUAAUAUAAAAAAUCUUCAAAUGAAAAUGGAGCAAUUAGUAAAAAUGGACUCAUUAAGGAGACAUAUACUCAUGAUGAGUAUUUAGAUAUAACAAAUUAAAAUCUUUGAAAAGGUUUAGAUACCUAAUAUGUUGAAACUUGAGAUAUCUCAAUAAGUUAUGUCAUUAUAGAAAAGAAAUAGAAAGAAAAGAAAAGUUGUAUAGUUUAGAAGCAUGAUUUAUCAUAUCCAAGUAUCAUGCGAGUUAACUUCAACAAAAGAUAGUCUAACAAUUUUGUAUGAAAACAAAAUAACUUGUAUUGCACAACUUAAAAGAGGCUAUAUCAAAGGUGAUAUGACAAAACAUAUUUCUCCAAAAUUCUUUCAUAUACACGAAUUUUAAAAGAAUGACGACAUCGAUAUCCAACAAAUUCGCUCAAGUGACAAUGUGGCCAAUUUAUUCACAAAAAUAUUGCCAACAUCUACAUUCAAGAAAUUGGUUCAAAGGAUUGGAAUGCAUCGACUCAAAGAUCUUCAAUGAUUUUCAUCAAAGGGAGUAGCUGUACUCUUUUUUCCUUAUUCUAGGUUUUGUCCCAUUGAAUUUUCCUAACAAUGUUUUAAUGAGGCAGUAUUUUCUUUAUACUCCAAAAUAUUAAUAGUCAACUGUACUCUUUUUUCCUUUGUUUAAUUUUUUUCCCAUUGGAUUUUUGUUAAACAAGGUUUUUAACAAGACAGUUAUUAAACAAAUAAUUAUAAAGGAGGGAGUAUUGUAAAAUAAUGAGAUAAUUAUUGAUGAUUCUAGUGUCGUCGUGAUACAUGAAUAAGUCUUAUCUAGUUCAGAAAAAUCUAUUUAUUAAAAUUGUAACUCGUAUUUUGGACCCUAUAAAUAUAGGGCAUUGGUUUAUAAUAAUUCACAUUUGAUUUUGACUAUCUAUUUCUUCUCUUAUUUUCUCUGUUCUCUAUCUGCACUCCCUGGAUCAAGCAUAUCAGGUGCUGAACAGCUGCCCUGUUGUCCUUUUAUAACAAAUAUAUAUAUAUAUAUAUAUAGACACAUUAGACGAUCCAAGAAACCAAGACUGACUUGUCCUAUUCCUUAAUUCAAUUUUGAACAUCUAAAGAUAAUUAUAAUUACAUACAUACAUAUCUAUGCAUGUAUAUAUAUAAUUAACACAACAAAAUAUGCUUGUAUGUAGAUCUGUUUGGCAAUGGAAAAGGAUUUUUGUUAACCUUAAUUAUAUUGAAAGAUGAUUUGUUUGUAUCUUUUUUUUAUUGAAGACAAUAAAUCGUGCUGCUACCUGCUAAAGUUAUAUAAAAAGAGAGAGACUAAAUCACUACAAUUGGUAUCGGAGCGCCGUUUUAGGCUACUGUAGUGGCUAAAUUUUUUCGAUCUCUUUGCUGGAAUUAAUAUAUAGUAAAUUGAAUGUAUGUUCAUGGUGCAAUUGAAGCACGUGUGUGAUGAUUUUACAAUAAGGCUUUUAAAAAAAAAAUUAAUUUUGGAACUCUUAUAGCUAUCGACCACAGACAGGUCCACUUUGAUAAAUUGGCUAAAAUUCUUUAAAUUUUUACAAUAGCAAGUAAUUGUAUGGGGUGACUAAUAAGAUUGCAGUCUUGCUUGAUAUUAGUAUUACAGGACUACUUGCCUAAAUUGUGAUGUUAUCAUUUUUUAUUUUUUUUUUGCUUUAUUGAUGGUUGCGUAAUUUCAUAUUGUUGUUGAACAACUAAAAAUUGGUGUGCUUUGCAUCUCUCUAAUUUUACUUUGUUGAUUAUUUCUAGGGAACCAAAUAGUUAUGGCUACGGAGGUGCAAAGCUGGGCAAAUUAAUGGGGUGCAGGAGGAAUUGGUGCAAUGGAAGAUGAGAGUACUAAAAGCAACAAAGAAGUGGGCACAACAGCCAAUUUAAUGUGUUGUUUAAUAUUUAAUAUACAAUGCGCAUCUCCUUUUGAAAAUCUCUUAAUUUGGUGGUACAUGUUUUGUGGUCUUCUAAUUAUAUUUUGGUGGUACAUAUUUUAAUUUUAUUUUGGAAAAUAGAUUGUGUUGAAUAUUUUACAA